AACUCGGCAUCCUGGGCACCACCACCCCGCACCUUUCCACAGUGCAGCUCUGCUCACGCCUGUGAAGCCUCCCACAGCCUGGGAAGGAAAACCCAGACUUGCCAGACCUUGCCUCCGCCAGGCCUUUGAAGCCCGCCAGCUUACCUAACCAGACCCUCAGCCCAUGGAGUCCUGUGUGAUGUUGUGAGCGUGGGAGGACAGACUGAACUGCUCGGCCCGUGGAGUCCUGUGUGAUGUUGUGAGCGGGGAGGACAGACUGAACUGCUCGGCCCGUGGAGUCCUGUGUGAUGUUCUCAACGGCAGCUAAAGCCACUGCAUACAAUGCAAGGACUGGCUCCUGUUUGGCCGCGACUGAUUGCAGCCCCUGGUGAAAUGAGAACCCUGUGGGUCGGAACAAAGUUUGGAUUAUUUAUGUUGCAAGUAACUAAAAUCUCAAGUGAAACUGGUUUAAACA
rnacentral:antisense_RNA from 1 species